UUUUUACUCCCUAUACUCUUCAAACCCAAACAAUACUAAGCUUUAAUAACCAAUGCCUAAGCAGCAAAGAGAAGAAGACAAAAAUCUGUGCCUACAGAGUUGGAAAAGUGCGUCGAAGCUGUCCAAAACAAGACAUCUAGAAACGAGCACAAGGCAACAUUCACUGAAAGCAGUUCGUCCACCCCUUCUGGUAUGUCUAUCAUAAGCAGUAGAGAAUUUGUCCACCAAAUCAUUCAUUGCACUACAGGAAGACAGGUAUAUGAAAAAAGAGCAUGUAUUAAUAACAACACAUGGAUACAAUACAAAGUUAAAAUUCUGAACUGAAAUUGCAUUCAAGUUCCUUAGUUUUGAAAAUAUAUUCACAUAUCUCACGGAAAAUGUUACGCAACACACCUAUACUACCAUCAACAUAUUUCUACUAAUUUUUUCACAAAAAUUAUAUUCAUGAGAAAAAGAUAAAGGAUAUGGAAAUAAGGAUGUUGUGAUGCAUCCAUUCAAUGACCUAUAUACAGUAUGCGUACAAUGAGAUGACUGGAAAACUGCAAUGUUAAGAGGGGUAUAAAAAAGGUCACAGGGAGAAGACCAAUAAGGAUGUUAAGACCUCAAAUGAGAAUUGGACCCAAAUAGACAAUUGGCUAAUCAGUUGCGCAAGCCCAAUAGAUGGAGAGUGAUGUUCUCAAAACAUAGGAAAGAAGAGGGAAAUAAUAAGGCGUGGCAGGGGUGAGAGUGAGCAUAGGAGAGGGAAGGGUAUUUAGAAUCUUUUUUCUACUAGAAACCAUUUGGUUUGGCUUUAGAGAGUCAUCUCUUAUCUAUGUGGAGCUUUGCUCUGGGCAGUAGGAGUACCGUUCAACGGUAAUUUUCCUUUUUCGUAAAUGAUACAUUCCAUUUAUUAAGUGUUGCUGUGUUAUUUUCUCCGUUAGGUUCUGGGUCCCUGACAGGCUAUAUUGUAAAUGGGGCAUCGUGAAUCUACCAUGAAAGAUAGAGCAUAACGACGUAAUAGAAUCCAUCCAUUAAGUUAUACAUACGAAUAGACUCUACUCAAAUGACUCUCCCUUGGCAAGUACCUCUGACUGAAGGUUAUGCUUUUCCUAGGGAAUGCUGCUGUAUAGGGAAUGAAAGAAAAACUGUGCUAUGGAUGUGGUUAUUAUGGGGUACCAAAGUCCUACGAUGAGUAGUAUGUUAAUGUGAUGCUCAGUGUAGUAUUUAAGUGGUUUGGUUUUUUCCCCACUGAUAACUAGCUUUUAAAGGAAGAUUAUUUCCCAAGCGCUCAAAUGCAUGUCAAAAUGCAACCUUGUAUUUAUUUUUCUACCAAUUUGAUUUGCUGCUUAAUGAAAUUUAAAAUAAAAAGUAGUUAUGCUAAAAUAACUGCCUUUUGCUAGGAAAAAAAACAAAUACAAUUACAAAACGCAAAAGAAAACAAACAAAGGAAACAGUUACUAGUAUGUCAUACCUUGAGCAGUUGGUCAGCAUGGCAAGGUAACUGAUCAAUAAGGUGUCAUUGUAUUCCUGCAAGGGAAAGAAGAUAUUGUAAGCUAAAAAAAAUUAUACGAGCCUUUAUGCUAUAUUUUACUGUGAUAUUAAGCCCACAAUCCAGCACAGAUACCAUAGUGAAGCAACAUGAAUCUUCACAGAAAAACAUUAUCGUAAUAGCAAUAAUCUCCAACGUUUCAUAGUGGGAAUAGUCCUUAUAUUUGUAGUGGUGUUAUAGAGACCACUCAAGCUAAGAAAAUCAGAGAGUAUUAUUAAUUACUGAAAAUAGGAACUAAUACAGAAACAUAUCACAACAAUCUCAGACCCAAGCUCAGAGAGAAGAUGCUUAACGCAUUAUCUGUGUGGCCGAAAACUACAAAGUACCAAUACGAAUGACUGAUUGCCCCCUCAUUGGCUCAGUCCACUCUCCUCAUACCAAUCUCCUCAUAUCAAUCCCUGUACACAUUUCAUUUUCUAAAUUCUAACAAGCAUUAAUAUCCAACAUAGUUCAUGUCAUGAUAUAUAUGAUUAUGCACACAAAAACUCAAAUAAACCAAGCACGGUAAGCGUGCAGAAAAAAAAAAUUAAGCCUAUCAAUGCUCCCUCCCCGCUACUUGCAAAGGUUAUCUUCCCCAAACCAAAAAAAGAAAGGUUGUAGCUUAUAGUGAAAUUUUCAAAAUCAAACACUCACCAUCAAGAAAUCAUCUUGAAAUUUCCCAGAUUCAAAAGCAGGCAAUCUUCUCAGGAGACUCGACACUUGCCUUAAUAGUGAAUUCUCACAAGGAACGUCACCUAUUUUUAAAACAAUAAGGUUUAAAUGGUUUAACUUCAGGGAGAUACAAUAUAGGUUGGCUAUGUAUAAUAUAUGGUUGAAGCAGGAAACGAAAAUAUUAUUCACAGAAUCAAUGGGCAUUAUUAGUCUAUUACUCUGUUGAAAAUAGGGUUGAAACUGAUUUUUGAAAUAUAAUUUAAGUAUUAAAAGUCCUCCCUGCAAUAACAGAAAACUAGUUUAAACUGUCACUAAUGUAUUUAUUCUCGCUUUUAUUUCUCCAACUCUUCAAACACUAUUGGUAAAGUAUUAGCAACUCAAAAGGCCCAACAAGUAUUUAUUUUUUAAAAAGGAAAAACGCCUGACUAGUUCAGAUAUAAAUAAUAUGCUUUUAUACAACUGGAAUAAACAACAAAAAAUUUAUCAUCAUGCGAGUUUUACAGAGACAUGAUUGAUACCCGCGUACCUUUUUCCAUAGCAAGAAGAUAGUGAUGUUGCACCUUUAUUCUGCUAUGAAGCAUUUUGGCGCGUUGAGAAAAAUCGAGAGUUAAGGUAACAAGAUAGUGAUGAUUCAAAUUCUGCAGCAGAUGUUAUUUUCAAGGUACCACAGCAGCUCUCAGGGGAUGAAGCGGCGCUGUUUGCUUGUAUUUUGCAGAGUAUUUGGAAGCAAUGCAACAUUCAGUGUUUAUGCAGAGUAUUUGGAAGCAAUGCAACAAUACACUUUGAAACAAUACAAUUGAGGCGCAAAAUUCAGUGUUUAUGCAGCCAAAAGUGGUGCUGCAGGACUGGAAAGCUAGCAGUCCACGAAAUCACAAACAGGGCAGAAUUGGUGCAGGCUGAUACAAAACUGUCAUUUGUAAAGAAGGCAUUGGCAUUUAUAUUAGAGAAGAAAGCAAUCCACACUACACAUAGUAUAAUGUGUUAGUACAGCUUACCCUUACGGGAAAUUUUAGUACACCUAUUGAUAUAUGAAAACACAAACCAUAUAUAAUAUGCAAAUAAUUCCAACAGCAGCAUGGUGGGUACGUUAUUAUGGUCUGCAACAGCCAACAUCAGAAUUGUUUGGCAACAAUACGAAAAAUCCAUUUAUCCAACAAUAACCAACACUUUUAACUGGUUGUUAGAAUGAAAAAUAAUGAUUAACAUUUAGUUUAUCAUAUUUUAUCGAGUGCUCUUAUUACCGUAUCAACAUUUGCACAAUCUUUCUUAAUAGACAGGCAGCUCAUUAUAGCAAUACCCGCAUAUCAAAAUGGUAUGUUCUUCUGUUGGUGCUUUCCUUUACUAUUUCAUACUCACUUUUGUUGCAGAAUAUGAUGCUCCGCCACACCGCUUACUCCGGACUCAAUCCAGAUUACUCAUUCCUGACAUAUCAUCCACUCUCCUAACUACUUUUGAUUUACCGAUGAGUUUAGUUUUAUGAAGGUAGUUUGGCCUGCCACAAUCAAAGGAUAUAGCUACCAUCCUUUUACAACGUUCGAUUAUCCUAUAUUGACCCAUCACAUUUGACGUGUCCAAGGUCACAAUAACUGUUGAAAUAGAUAAAUAUUUCUAGAAUAUUCUAGUUUAAAAAAUGACAAUGUCUAUUAGAAAAACUAGAAUAGCUUAAAGUUGCCACAUGUUUAUAUAUUGUUCUAUUGAUGACUAGGUUAAGUUGUAGCCUAGAAACAUCUAUUAGUGAAACAAUUUCAGUUGCAACCAUCAUAUUCAGUCUAAACAGCAUCAUGUUAUGUUAAUAAUACGAGAACACACAUCAAGUACAUCCCAAAAAUGGCUUCGAAGUCAAAGUCAUGAACUAAUUCCUCAUCCUUCUCUUUCAUUUUAAUUCAAUGUUCAUAUUUCGGACAGAAUGUGGACUUGAACUUGGUCACCACAUUAUUUAGCAGAAGUUUUCCCUUCCAUUAAGGAUAACAGAAAAAGUAAGAAAAAAUAGUAUGGGGAUAAGUCAUGUUGAGAAGAACUAAAUAGUAAUAACAUGAUUUUGGCAUACCAUCUAAGUUGAUAUUAGAAAAUCUAACCUCAAACCAAGUAAACCAACGCAAGAUUUUGACUUAUAUAAAAUGAAAGGCAUGAGAGAACAAAACCUUCUAACAAAAAUAAAUAAAGAUAACUACUGCAUAUUCAAAUGAACCUUAACAAUAAUCCAUCAAGUAACCAAUAAUCAGAACAACUACAAAAUAAAUAAAAAUAUCCUAAACAGAAAUUGACAUAAAGGUUUUAGAUUAGUCUCACACUCAAGUUACAUAGCACCACAUUUACAUUCUAGCAUUAAGAACAAGGUGAUAUCAAACUCUCAACGCAUACGUCACGCAUGAUUUUCGACUCACUAAACUUAAAAGUGCCAUUUCUAGAAUUGUGAAAAACCAACUUCCGUGUCCUUUCCCCUUCAUAAAUACAAUCCAACAACAAACAGCCAUCCUAAAAAAUAUGUAGUACUUCAAUAGUGGCAAAAGAUGAAGGAAAAUCUCGCAUGAAAGAAACACUAUACAACUUAGCCCACGAGUCAUUAUUUCCAUGUUCCUUCAUAAUCCAAACAUCAUGACCAAACACCAGGCAAAAACAAUCCCUAAACACACCCAAGUACCAACGCAAACGCAAAGUAGAUGAAUCAACAUCCUUCGGCAGCAAAACUUCCUUACAAGACUCGAUUCCCAAAUCAAGAGAAACAAUACAAUCUUGAAAUUUGUUAUCAUACUAUCUAGCAACCAACCAAUUGAUGGUGCCACUCACAGAUUUUCCCAAAAAUUGCAAAGGAACACAACCAAAAGGAAAUUUUGGAAUGGUUUUCCAAGAAUUGGUGCCCAAAGAAUGAACAUUCACCUCAUGGUUAGUAUCACGUACGUGUAAACCAACCACCACCUUGUAAGCAUUAGCAGUAACAUCAUAGCCAAAGCCAUAGAUUAAUUCGUGACGAAGAACAUUUUGUUUCUUUUCAAGAGAGGGCAAUUCCUUGAAUUUUCGAAUGGAAGGGUUCCACAAUAGAAGAUUCAGGAAGCCUCCAUGUUCACUUACAAGAAGUAGGACGCCAUUGAACGAGCCAACACAGGAAAACUGGUUGGAAGGUAGCUCAAGCUGGGCGAUGGAGUUAGUUGUUACGCCGUCGGUGAAAAUAGAGUCGAGUAGGUAAGACUGUAGAACAUUGUUGCUUGAGCGAUUGGGAUGGACGAGGUACGUAUUUGAGAGGCGGAGGUGUUUGAUGGCGAAUUUGGGAUCGGAGAUAAGAUAAUUCCAUGACUUGGAGACAGAUUUGAGUUGAAGGAGGUGUUUCACUGGAAGUGUAGUUAGAAUUUCUGAAAUGAGAUCCAAAGUAAGAGUGGGAAGUUGUGGUGGCGCGUGAAGUGAACACGAUGAUGUUAGGGUUUUGGCUAAUGUUUCAUCAGUCAAUGAAGGAGAAGAAACGGUGUCGCCUUGGUGGUUGCCUUCGCUGUCCAUGUUAUUAGCAGCAAUGUGUGUAUAGCACCGAUGUGUGGGUAGCGCUGAUUAGGGUUUAGUGGUUCUUUCUGCAAUAACGAGCGAUGAGGGAAGGCGAAGGCGGUCAGUAGGUUUUAAGGGUCCUCUCUUGGUGGUACAUGGGCCUGCUUUACUAUCAGAACCAGCCCAAUGUGAGAAUUUAACUAAUUCUCACUUAUUGCUUGCUGUAUCAAAUUCUGAGGGGGUGGGAAGAGCAAACAUGCACACUAGAUUUUGUAUGGAGGAUUUGGAUUUAUCGGAGUAUAGUUAUUAUGUCGACAAUUUGGGGGAAGACCACAUAAUCAAUUGGGUGUUUCUAAGUGCAUUCAAUUGGUAGACAUAGCGAGAAAUGGGAGAUAUAAAAGGAGGUUGACGGCAGGCCAGGACUCGAGAGAGGACUAGUAUAAAUAAAUGGAAUGCACUUUCUGGAGGUUGACGGCAGGCCAGGACUCACAAGGAUUGGAAGAUAUCACGCAAACGAAAAGUAGAUACAAUUCAAGAAACGAAAUUGGAAGUUGUCACGCCGGCUCUUUGCUAUAGUUUAUGGAGGAGCGAAGAUAAUAGUGGCGGAAUUAUAUAUUUAUGGAAUAAAGUCGAUUCUAGUCUUUCUUUCACUUUUGGGGGGAAGGUUAUGUCGAUAUUUUUUGGAGCGUGCUCAUUGGAGAAGGAAUUAUUGUGAUUAACGUGUGUUUUACCUGGAUGUUAGCAUUAAAAAUUAAAAUCAUUCAGCUUGAAAUUUUACCUAUAAAUAAAUGGAAUGCACUUUCUGGUGUCGCUUUUUCCUUUCUAAGGUAAAAUUGAUUUAGGCUUCUUCAGUUGCUGAAAUGUCAUUUAUAAACUUGUAGAUGUUUAUAGAAUAGCCAAAUGAAAAAACUUUAAAAGAUUAAAUUACAGAACUGAUACGAUAAACUAUUAUAAGAGCCAUGGUUAUUACUUAUUACCAAUAAAAAGGAAAUUUUAAUAUUUUUAGAAAGGAAAAAAGUUCAAACUAGCUCUGAUGUUUUACUUAACCGAGUAAAAAUCCCGCCAAGAAAUGCAAAAGAAUUUUGCACGCAACAUAAAAAAUAAUGAGGGGUGGUGGCUCAACAAACGAUCAAAAUGAAAACUCGUAUCAUGCAAUGAACUUGUGUGCCCUCAAUUUGCAAUUUUGUUACAGAAAUGUUAAAACUAACACAUUUCCUUUUUUCUUUGGAGGUGGGGGCAUGGUAAUAUGGUCAUUUCCCACGAACUUUUUCUACUCCCUAUACUCUUCAAAUCCAAACAAUACUAAGCUUUAAUAACCAAUGCCUAAGCAGCAAAGAGAAGAAGACAAAAAUCUGUGCCUAUAGAGUUGGAAAAGUGCGUCGAAGCUGUCCAAAACAAGACAUCUAGAAACGAGCACAAGGCAACAUUCACAUGAAAGCAGUUCGCCCACCCCUUCUGGUAUGUCUAUCAUAAGCAGUAGAGAAUUUGUCCACCAAAUCAUUCAUUGC
rnacentral:lncRNA from 1 species